UCUUAGUAUGACUCAACAUUAGGCCACCCUUCCUUGAUUGCGUCUGAUCUUGGAAGUUAAGUAAGUCUGGGCAUGGUUAAUACUUGGAUGGGAGAUCUAGGGAGACCAGAUAAUGCAGGCUGAGAA
rnacentral:rRNA from 1 species